rnacentral:rRNA from 2 species
GGAGCUGAAGUCAGUCGAAGAUACCAGCUGGCUGCAACUGUUUAUUAAAAACACAGCACUGUGCAAACACGAAAGUGGACGUAUACGGUGUGACGCCUGCCCGGUGCCGGAAGGUUAAUUGAUGGGGUCAGCGCAAGCGAAGCUCCUGAUCGAAGCCCCGGUAAACGGCGGCCGUAACUAUAACGGUCCUAAGGUAGCGAAAUUCCUUGUCGGGUAAGUUCCGACCUGCACGAAUGGCGUAAUGAUGGCCAGGCUGUCUCCACCCGAGACUCAGUGAAAUUGAACUCGCUGUGAAGAUGCAGUGUACCCGCGGCAAGACGGAAAGACCCCGUGAACCUUUACUAUAGCUUGACACUGAACAUUGAGCCUUGAUGUGUAGGAUAGGUGGGAGGCUUUGAAGUGUGGACGCCAGUCUGCAUGGAGCCGACCUUGAAAUACCACCCUUUAAUGUUUGAUGUUCUAACGUGGACCCGUAAUCCGGGUUGCGGACAGUGUCUGGUGGGUAGUUUGACUGGGGCGGUCUCCUCCUAAAGAGUAACGGAGGAGCACGAAGGUUGGCUAAUCCUGGUCGGACAUCAGGAGGUUAGUGCAAUGGCAUAAGCCAGCUUGACUGCGAGCGUGACGGCGCGAGCAGGUGCGAAAGCAGGUCAUAGUGAUCCGGUGGUUCUGAAUGGAAGGGCCAUCGCUCAACGGAUAAAAGGUACUCCGGGGAUAACAGGCUGAUACCGCCCAAGAGUUCAUAUCGACGGCGGUGUUUGGCACCUCGAUGUCGGCUCAUCACAUCCUGGGGCUGAAGUAGGUCCCAAGGGUAUGGCUGUUCGCCAUUUAAAGUGGUACGCGAGCUGGGUUUAGAACGUCGUGAGACAGUUCGGUCCCUAUCUGCCGUGGGCGCUGGAGAACUGAGGGGGGCUGCUCCUAGUACGAGAGGACCGGAGUGGACGCAUCACUGGUGUUCGGGUUGUCAUGCCAAUGGCACUGCCCGGUAGCUAAAUGCGGAAGAGAUAAGUGCUGAAAGCAUCUAAGCACGAAACUUGCCCCGAGAUGAGUUCUCCCUGAGACUUUAGGUCUCCUGAAGGAACGUUGAAGACGACGACGUUGAUAGGCCGGGUGUGUAAGCGCAGCGAUGCGUUGAGCUAACCGGUACUAAUGAACCGUGAGGCUUAACCUU